AUGAAAAAUUGUUGUAAGUCGCUCUGGAUAAGAGCGUCUGCUAAAUGACUUAAA
rfam:Salmo salar isolate Sally breed double haploid chromosome ssa09, whole genome shotgun sequence.